rnacentral:ncRNA from 1 species
UGGUCAUGGAAGUCAAAAUCCGCUAAGGAGUGUGUAACAACUCACCUGCGGAAUCAACUAGCCCUGAAAAUGGAUGGCGCUGAAGCACGUGACCUAUACCCGGCCGUCGGGGCAAGUGUCAGGCCCCGAUGAGUAGGAGGG